AGCAGUAGCCGCGGUAACACGAAGGGUGCAAGCGUUAAUCGGAAUUACUGGGCGUAAAGCGUGCGUAGGCGGUGAGUUAAGUCGGAUGUGAAAUCCCUGAGCUUAACUUAGGAAUUGCAUUCGAUACUGGGAAGCUAGAGUAUGGGAGAGGAUGGUAGAAUUCCAGGUGUAGCGGUGAAAUGCGUAGAGAUCUGGAGGAAUACCGAUGGCGAAGGCAGCCAUCUGGCCUAAUACUGACGCUGAGGUACGAAAGCAUGGGGAGCAAACAGGAUUAGAUACCCCGGUAGUCCCUGUCUCUUAUAC
rnacentral:rRNA from 1 species